rnacentral:rRNA from 1 species
GACGAACGCUGGCGGCGUGCUUAACACAUGCAAGUCGAACGGAAAGGCCCUGCUCUUGUGGGGUGCUCGAGUGGCGAACGGGUGAGUAACACGUGAGUAACCUGCCCUUGACUUUGGGAUACCUUCAGGAAACUCGGGCGAUUAUCCGAUAGGAGCUCCUUCUGCAUGGUGGUGGAUGGUGAGUUUCGGCGGUUCGGGAUGGACUCGCGGCUUAUCAGCUUGUUGGUGGGGUAGUGGCUUACCAAGGCUUGGACGGGUAGCCGGCCUGAGAGGGUGACCGGGCACAAUGGGACUGGGGAGCGGGCAGGACGCCUACGGGAGGCAGCAGUGGGGGACAUUGCGCGAUGGGCGGAAGGCGGAUGGAGCAACGCCGCAUGCGGGAUGACGGCCUUCGGGUUGGAACCCGCUUUCGCCUGUAACGAAGAGUGAGUGACGGUAAUGGGUAAGGAAGCACCGGCUAACUACGUG